rnacentral:rRNA from 1 species
GUGAAGCAGAGCUUGCUCUGUGGAUCAGUGGCGAACGGGUGAGUAACACGUGAGCAAUCUGCCCCUGACUCUGGGAUAAGCGCUGGAAACGGCGUCUAAUACUGGAUAUGAACCGUGGAGGCAUCUUCAACGGUUGGAAAGAUUUUUUGGUCAGGGAUGAGCUCGCGGCCUAUCAGCUUGUUGGUGAGGUAAUGGCUCACCAAGGCGUCGACGGGUAGCCGGCCUGAGAGGGUGACCGGCCACACUGGGACUGAGACACGGCCCAGACUCCUACGGGAGGCAGCAGUGGGGAAUAUUGCACAAUGGGCGAAAGCCUGAUGCAGCAACGCCGCGUGAGGGAUGACGGCCUUCGGGUUGUAAACCUCUUUUAGCAGGGAAGAAGCGAAANGUGACGGUACCUGCAGAAAAANGCGCCGGCUAACUACGUGCCAGCAGCCGCGGUAAUACGUAGGGCGCAAGCGUUAUCCGGAAUUAUUGGGCGUAAAGAGCUCGUAGGCGGUUUGUCGCGUCUGCUGUGAAAUCCCGAGGCUCAACCUCGGGUCUGCAGUGGGUACGGGCAGACUAGAGUGCGGUAGGGGAGAUUGGAAUUCCUGGUGUAGCGGUGGAAUGCGCAGAUAUCAGGAGGAACACCGAUGGCGAAGGCAGAUCUCUGGGCCGUAACUGACGCUGAGGAGCGAAAGGGUGGGGAGCAAACAGGCUUAGAUACCCUGGUAGUCCACCCCGUAAACGUUGGGAACUAGUUGUGGGGUCCAUUCCACGGAUUCCGUGACGCAGCUAACGCAUUAAGUUCCCCGCCUGGGGAGUACGGCCGCAAGGCUAAAACUCAAAGGAAUUGACGGGGACCCGCACAAGCGGCGGAGCAUGCGGAUUAAUUCGAUGCAACGCGAAGAACCUUACCAAGGCUUGACAUAUACGAGAACGCUGCAGAAAUGUAGAACUCUUUGGACACUCGUAAACAGGUGGUGCAUGGUUGUCGUCAGCUCGUGUCGUGAGAUGUUGGGUUAAGUCCCGCAACGAGCGCAACCCUCGUUCUAUGUUGCCAGCACGUAAUGGUGGGAACUCAUGGGAUACUGCCGGGGUCAACUCGGAGGAAGGUGGGGAUGACGUCAAAUCAUCAUGCCCCUUAUGUCUUGGGCUUCACGCAUGCUACAAUGGCCGGUACAAAGGGCUGCAAUACCGUGAGGUGGAGCGAAUCCCAAAAAGCCGGUCCCAGUUCGGAUUGAGGUCUGCAACUCGACCUCAUGAAGUCGGAGUCGCUAGUAAUCGCAGAUCAGCAACGCUGCGGUGAAUACGUUCCCGGGUCUUGUACACACCGCCCGUCAAGUCAUGAAAGUCGGUAACACCUGAAGCCGGUGGCCCAACCCUUGUGGA